AUAGCGUAUAUUAAAGUUGUUGCAGUUAAAAAGCUCGUAGUUGGAUUUCAAGGAACAUUAGUAGGAAACUAUUAAUAUCCUAUCAGUCUUUGACUGUUACUGUGAGAAAAUUAGAGUGUUUCAAGCAGGCUGUUGCCCGAAUACAUUAGCAUGGAAUAACGAAUGUGUCUAGAAUCUUGGUUAAUUCUAGAUUACGAUUAAUAGGGACAGUUGGGGGCAUUAGUAUUUAAUUGUCAGAGGUGAAAUUCUUGGAUUUGUUAAAGACUAACGUAUG
rnacentral:rRNA from 1 species